rnacentral:rRNA from 1 species
AGAUUGAACGCUGGCGGCAGGCCUAACACAUGCAAGUCGAGCGGUAGAGAGGUGCUUGCAUCUCUUGAGAGCGGCGGACGGGUGAGUAAUGCCUAGGAAUCUGCCUAGUGGUGGGGGAUAACGGUUCGGAAACGGACGCUAAUACCGCAUACGUCCUACGGGAGAAAGCGGGGGACCUUCGGGCCUCGCGCCAUUAGAUGAGCCUAGGUCGGAUUAGCUAGUUGGUGAGGUAAUGGCUCACCAAGGCGACGAUCCGUAACUGGUCUGAGAGGAUGAUCAGUCACACUGGAACUGAGACACGGUCCAGACCUCCGUACGGGAGCGAGCGAGGUAGGGGAAUAGUUGGAACGAAGUGGGACGAAAG